CCUACGGGCGGCUGCAGUGGGGAAUAUUGCACAAUGGGCGCAAGCCUGAUGCAGCCAUGCCGCGUGUGUGGAGAAGGCCUUCGGGUUGUAAAGCACUUUCAGCGGGGAGGAAGGCGUUAAGGUUAAUAACCUUGGCGAUUGACGUUACCCGCAGAAGAAGCACCGGCUAACUCCGUGCCAGCAGCCGCGGUAAUACGGAGGGUGCAAGCGUUAAUCGGAAUUACUGGGCGUAAAGCGCACGCAGGCGGUCGGUCAAGUCGGAUGUGAAAUCCCCGGGCUCAACCUGGGAACUGCAUUCGAAACUGGCAGGCUAGAGUCUUGUAGAGGGGGGUAGAAUUCCAGGUGUAGCGGUGAAAUGCGUAGAGAUCUGGAGGAAUACCGGUGGCGAAGGCGGCCCCCUGGACAAAGACUGACGCUCAGGUGCGAAAGCGUGGGGAGCAAACAGGAUUAGAUACCCGGGUAGUC
rnacentral:rRNA from 1 species